GUUGUAUGGUUAAGUGACUAAGCGUACACGGUGGAUGCCUAGGCAGUCAGAGGCGAUGAAGGACGUAGUAACUUGCGAAAAGCGUAGAUAAGGCAGUAACAGCCACUUGAGUCUACGAUAUCCGAAUGGGGAAACCCAAGUGCAGCAGCACUUAUCAUUAACUGAAUUCAUAGGUUAAUGAGGCAAACCGGGGGAACUGAAACAUCUAAGUACCCCGAGGAGAAGAAAUCAACCGAGAUUCCGAAAGUAGCGGCGAGCGAAAUUGGAUUAGCCCUUAAGCUUUAUAUGCGUCAGGCGAAGGCUCUGGAAAGGGCCGCGGAACAGGGUGAUAGCCCCGUAGCCGUUAGCGCAUGUUCAGUGAAAUCGAGUAGGGCGGGACACGUGAUAUCCUGUCUGAAUAUGGGGGGACCAUCCUCCAAGGCUAAAUACUCCUGAUUGACCGAUAGUGAACCAGUACCGUGAGGGAAAGGCGAAAAGAACCCCUGUGAGGGGAGUGAAAUAGAACCUGAAACCGUGUACGUACAAGCAGUAGGAGCCCCAUCACUAAGCUUUAGUGAUGCAUCAGCAUUAAAGACUUUUUCCGAUAAACGGUAACAACGCGCAGCGUUGGUCAACCGACACAUCGGCAGAGGUGGCUUAGUGAUGGGGUGACUGCGUACCUUUUGUAUAAUGGGUCAGCGACUUAUAUUCAGUGGCAAGGUUAACCACAUAGGGGAGCCGUAGCGAAAGCGAGUCUUAACUGGGCGUUUAGUCUCUGGAUAUAGACCCGAAACCGGGUGAUCUAGCCAUGGGCAGGUUGAAGGUUGAGUAACAUCAACUGGAGGACCGAACCGACUAAUGUUGAAAAAUUAGCGGAUGACUUGUGGCUAGGGGUGA
rnacentral:rRNA from 1 species